rnacentral:rRNA from 1 species
AUUGAACGCUGGCGGCAUGCCUUACACAUGCAAGUCGAACGGUAACGCGGGGCAACCUGGCGACGAGUGGCGAACGGGUGAGUAACGCAUCGGAACGUGCCCAGUAGUGGGGGAUAGCCCGGCGAAAGCCGGAUUAAUACCGCAUACGACCUACGGGUGAAAGGGGGGAUCGCAAGACCUCUCGCUAUUGGAGCGGCCGAUGUCAGAUUAGGGAGUUGGUGGGGUAAAAGCCUACCAAGCCGACGAACUGUAGCUGGUCUGAGAGGACGACCAGCCACACUGGGACUGAGACACGGCCCAGACUCCUACGGGAGGCAGCAGUGGGGAAUUUUGGACAAUGGGCGCAAGCCUGAUCCAGCCAUGCCGCGUGCGGGAAGAAGGCCUUCGGGUUGUAAACCGCUUUUGUCAGGGAAGAAAUCUUCUGAGUUAAUACCUCGGGAGGAUGACGGUACCUGAAGAAUAAGCACCGGCUAACUACGUGCCAGCCGCCGCAGUAACAC